GCGGUCGUAGCUCAGUUGGUAGAGCACUAGUUUGUGGUACUAGUGGUCGCGGGUUCAAGUCCCGUCGUCCGCCCCA
rnacentral:tRNA from 1 species